rnacentral:tRNA from 1 species
GGGGAUUUAGCUCAGUGGUAGAGCGCUUGCCUAGCAAGUGCGAGGCCCUGGGUUCAGUCCUCA